rnacentral:lncRNA from 10 species
GAGUCACCGGCCACCAACGCCCGGAGGGAGACCGGCGACGCUCUCCGCCGCGACCGAAAGUCUCACACGCCCUGAGCAGAUGAACCGGUCCCUCGGUCCGGUCUGCCCUCCCGCACCGGCGCCUUUGGGCUCAGCGGGCCAGUGGCCAGAUGGCGAGAGUAAAUUGGGGGAAUUUCUUUCGUUUCCAUCGAACCCCACACUACGUCUACUCUUUCGGCUUUCUCAGCCGUUGUCCCCCAACUCUUGUUUCUUUUUCACGUCUUGUCCCCCACCCCAUUUUUCUUCUUCCAUAUUAUCCAGGUUCUGGAUCUCAUCAGCUUUGUCCUCGUCACCCCUCUGGGAGUUCAGCCUCCUAAGGCUGUGAAACAGCCCAAAAGGCCCGGACACGCUACUCCAAAACGUCUCUCCUGGGCUGUGUGAACAAUAAGAGCUAUUUGGGGACGACAGGAAAAGAUAUGGCCCAUAGAAGGGCUCCUGAAAUCUAACCUUGCGACUCUUUAAAAGUUUCUUGUCCCUUGUGGAAAAGGUGCCGUUUUGGUUUUGGGGAAUGGGAGGUCCCUUCAGACAAUUCAUUUUAGCCAAACCCUCGCUUUUGAGAAGGGGAAGAAAUGGGAUUAUUGUAACACCAUACAGUACUAAUUUCAAAAUAAAUCAUCUAGAAUAGAGGAGAGAGAGAGUCCCCAAAUAAACAACCAUUUAAUACCUCUACUCGGCGCUAUCACCUUUUUUGCUUCAGGAUUUGACCAAGAGAGCAGAGAUUAUGUUUUUCUGUCCUUUCUUCACUGUUUACAUCACAGUACCCCAAGAGAAGCACUUCUGCCUUUAACUUGAUACAUUGGAAUCGCUAUCACAGAUAGUGUUUUUGUAUUAUUUUUAAGAAAUAUCACACACCUUCCUAAACUCUUGGCAGAGAAGAAUUCUUUUUAGUUGUUAGCACCCUCCUGCUACUGAGAUCUCAGCUUCUGUUUAGAAGACCUAUUGUUGUCUUUCCACUGAUUGGAAUUUGCUGCCUCUGAACUGGGUUUAAUCUGUAAUCGUCUUUUCAGCCUACUAAAUAGUAACCCCAGUCCUACAGAGAGUGAAUUUCUAGCUACCACAGGGGGAUUUAGGUUAGCAUGUGCCAAUCUAAAGGGAUCUCUUAAAGCCUUUCCCUUCUCAGACCAGGCCUCUGUACCCUGCUAGGAAAAACAGAUUAAUCUGCUCCUCCUGCUUUUCCUCCUCCUCCCUUCUUCUCACUCCUAGGGAACCUUCCACAACAGAAGGUUUUAGCGACUGUUGCUAGGCAAACAUGCCAACUUCCUUGUUUAGGUGAAGCGAGUAACUCAACUUCCAUUGCAAGUAACCUAGAUAAUGUAAUUUCUUUGAACUAUUAAUAGUUAUACCACAGUUGGUAAGGCUCCUUAAAGGUUCCCUUAAGCAGUAUGAUUUUUACGUUGUUUAUUUUUAUCUCGUCAAUAUUUCAAUUAAAAAUACGUUAAAGGACAGAUAGAUGCAGUGGCUCACGCCUGUAAUCCCAACAUUUUAGGAGGCUGAGGGGGGCGGAUCACCUGAGGUCCGGAGCCUGACCAACGUGGAGAAACCCCAUCUCUACUAAAAAUACAAAAAUUAGCCAGGUGUGGUGGCGUGCACCUAUAGUCCUAGCUACUCGGGAGGCUGAGGCAGGAGAAUCACUUGAACCUGGGAGGUGGAGGUUGUAGUGAGCCGAGAUCACGCCAUUGCACUCCAGUCUGGGCAAAAAGAGCUAAACUCUGUCUCA